CAAGAGGCUGUCACCGAGGCCUGACGUCAUCAGGACCAUCUGGGAGCUGGAAUCUGUGGAGAGAGGGAGAGAACCGUGAGCCGUGCGGGCCGGAGAGGGCAGGGCUGUGCUCCAGAUCCAGAGCAGCUGCAUUGUCCUUGGAGGCUGCCCUUCCAAGAGCAGCGCAGCCCAAUGCUGUUUAACAGGAAGGUCACGCCUGGAGGUGAGUGUAUUCCAUGGAGGUGUGUGUAUUCCAUGGAGGUGUGUGUAUUCCAUGGAGGUUGUGUGUAUUCCAUGGAGGUUGUAUGUAUUCCAUGGAGGUUGUGUGUAUUCCAUGGAGGUUGUAUGUAUUCCAUGGAGGUGUGUGUAUUCCAUGGAGGUAUAUGUAUUCCAUGGAGGUAUAUGUAUUCCAUGGAGGUUGUAUGUAUUCCAUGGAGGUGUGUGUAUUCCAUGGAGGUGUGUGUAUUCCAUGGAGGUGUGUGUAUUCCAUGGAGGUAUAUGUAUUCCAUGGAGGUAUAUGUAUUCCAUGGAGGUUGUAUGUAUUCUAUGGAGGUUGUGUGUAUUCCAUGGAGGUUGUAUGUAUUCUAUGGAGGUUGUGUGUAUUCCAUGGAGGUUGUACAUAUUCCAUGGAGGUUGUAUGUAUUCCAGUUCAUGGGGAGACGUGACAGACCCAUUCACCAACCCCACUGCAAGAGGCCAGUGGCACUGGAAAUGCUCCAGACACCCCAGUUCUUGCCCCUGAACUCCUGCCACCCAACCCAGC